GGAGGGGCCAGGUUCAGCUCAACUCCAUCUGUCUGUCAGGUGCGCACACAACAGAACAGAGCACACUCAUUUUUGUUGACUGCAAUGAAACUUUGUUAUUUAAGUGAAUGGGAUUGGAGUGCAUAAGAGAUUCGCGAAAAGGCACUGGGAGAAUGGAUGGUGCAGGAAGCCGUGCAUUAUGAAACACAGCCCUCCUUCCCACAGAAGUUCCAUUGAGACAAGUGUUACGCUCAAAUCAGACUUGGGCUGCCUGUUCUUUGGAGUCUAUGGAAGUUUCAAGCUGGCAAACCAAAACUAAUUGCAUCUUUGAUACCAAGAAUCAGACUGUUCGUGUAAGUGCUACAUAAACCCUGAAUUUUAUUGAUUUAUUAUGCAUGUUGAUCUUGCUAUAAUGAACAGAGCCUCAGAUAUUUUAUAAAGGCAUGAAAGUGACAUUUAAUGCUCUUACACAACAUUCACUGUGAUAGUCAGGUACAUAGAAAUAUUAACACCUUGGUUGCAAAAGAGCACACUGAAAUUCAAGUAAAACUUGUCUGUCUUUAUCAGACACUGAAGAUCUUCUGUGCCCCUAAACAAGGCUGCAGAACUGUUUCAAAUUGCCAGAUAGGAAUUUACUUUAAACCAUCAGCGUUGCUUAGUCUGCAAAAUUCUCCCAUGUAAUUAGGAGUUAAAUUCAACUACCCUCAGCAACAACAGAAAAGUACCAAGAAAACCCAUACCUGCGUAUACUCCAGGCUUUUAAUUCCUUUUCUAUUCAAGUCUAAAUGACUAUAUUCUAUUACCAGAGGAAUAUCAAGACAGAAAAUAAAUGCAGAGGGACUCUCACAAGUAGGCAGCUGUUCAAGAAAACAGUUUAAGUAAAAUAGCUGCUGUGCUUCUUGGAUAUCCUCCAGAGUUGAGCUGGAAAGCUCUGCAUGCACUCAAUUUAAGGAAAAGGGAAGACUUCCACCCACCACCUCCUUUGGGACCGCGCUUUUUCUUUGCUCUCCCAGCCUUCAGCGACCUCUAUACGCCAGUUACACACACAGCCUUCCACUCUCAAGGAGAGUGAAUACCAGAAGGAUCUUCAAAGAAGUUUAACACAAGUUAGAGGCAUUUUCAGCUAGCAGAUAAUGAAAUGUAUGCAACUUACCGGCACCAGGUAACACCAAGGUAUUACUGGCUUCAAAAGUGAUUCAGGGAGAUUUGAGGAGGAUUGGUCCACUGAUGACUAUUAAAUCCAAUGGCCAAGAAACUCCCAUACCACUGACUGCCAAAAGCUGAAAAUAAAAGCUACAGGAAGGUUGAUCCUCUCAAACUACUUCUCACGUUGUUUCACUGUUACCUGCAUCCAAGCAGUCACCAAACCUCCCUCAGUAUUUAAUACAUGAUCAGCAUCCCACAGGCAAGGAGGAAACCUCUUAGGUGAUGCCACUCCUGCUGAAUUUUCCUCCUAUUUUCUCCUGAAGGAACACUGAGUGUCCAUGCAAUGCUUUGCCCCCAUUUGUGGAGGGAUGUUUUUUCUGCCAUGUUCUUUUCAGCAGAGUCCUCAGCUCCAGGAGGCCUAUCCCUAUCAGAUCACUCUCACAAUCAGAGUGUGGCAUCACAUAUUUUGCUCAUGGCAAGAGGAAUGAUAGAUCACAGCAGUUCUUGGUCCUUGCUCAGAAGAGCUUUCACUACUGUUGGCUGCAAUGACUUUUCAGCUGAAGAGAAAUAGUUUCCACCUGGUCCAAAUUAGAACAACUAAGCUGCACAGUCAAGAGAGAAGGAACUGUUUUUGCCCAACUCAAAUACAUUUCAGAGUUUCCCUGGGACUGAAUUCCUCUCUCAUUACCCACAUGGCCGAAGCACAACCCAUCCCUCUACAUGUGGGCACCUCCUGUACCUGCAGGGCUACAUACAGGCUUUUACGUGCCUUGUGCCUAAACCAAAACUGUAACUACUUUGCAGUACCAAACCUCUACAGAUUCUGUAGUGCCCCACUGUUCCCACUCUGGACCAUACCAUCUGGAAAUGAAACCACACAUCUCCCAGUCAAAACAAAGCAAGCCUAUCAUUCAGCCACUGGAAAACACAGCAAAAGCCACAGGAAUAAGUAACCUGUGUUUUAUAUGCAAACAUCAAAAUCCAGUCCAAAAGAACAAGUAGUAACAAACCUGGAGAACACAUACCAUAAGACAGGUUUUUUUUAGGCAGCAACACAAGGCUGCUGGCAUCAGGACAGGGACAAGGCAGCCCUACAGGCUGCAGACCACCAGCCACGCGUUAUUCAUCUCUGCAGGCAGUAACUGAUAGCACUGCUUUGGUUACAGUACAAUUGCUUGUCUUAUAAAUCUCAGUACAAUAGUUUGGCAAACUUGACUGAGCCUCAAGCUGUGGUUGUGCACAACAGGCACCUGAGCAUCUCCACACUCACUGCCACAUAUUUACCCUCAGCCUACCUGCUUGAUGAUUCCCUGCAAGACAAGGCUCAGCAGCUCCAAGGUUCCUCUGGAAGGUCAGCUUUAUACAGACAGCAAGGCGAGCACCUCCUGUGUCAGUGCCUGAGCUCCCAUCACUGUCAGCUGUGUGGUGUUGGAAGCCAUUACACACAGGUAACUUUAACUGGUGUGUGAUCAGCAUUCUCUACUAAAUGCAUCAAUGAGCAUCUCUCCUUGACCAUCUCUAAGCAAAUAGAAGCGUUAGCUGCUGCAAAGGUAUAAGUUGUAGCAAAAUUUGACUUCAUCUGUUGUUAGGUGGUGAGAGCUAGUCAUUUCUGGAUGUCAAAAUGUCAUUCUGCUGAAUGAGACUGUCCGCACAUGAAAGCUAAAAGCAAUGGCAACCUACAUGCCCAGUAGGUACAGCCUGAAUUGCAUAUUCAUAAAUUGCUCUGCUGAACGCAGCUUAACUCAAGGAUUUCCAUAGCAGGUUUUUACUUUUGCACAGAUUUUUGCAGUCUGUCCAUUUUGACGUCUCAGGGAAUCUACCAAAACACCACUUGAAAAUGCUGAUAGAGAUGGCUUAUCUAAAAAACCCCAGCUCUGUCAAACUACCCAAUUUCCAGAGCUGCAUCAGAUCAAAUAAGGAACAGUUUAGAACUGCCCUUCUCCAACCUGAAUGAAUUUGUGAUUCUGUGACAGCCUGACCUUUCUGUGCUACAUUUAUCCAGCUGGGGACAGGCAGUGGGACCCCUCUGCUCCCUCAGGGCUCAAUGGGGCUGAGGCAUCCCCACUGCACAGCCCCAUGCUGAGACAGGCACAGGGCAUCGAUCCCUUCUGCCAUUGCCACCAUGGCACGCGCGGUGCCUGAGCACUCACCUGCAGGCCAUGAGAUUCAUUGCCCUUUGGUUGCUACUGACUGAAUUUCCCCACUUUUCCUCUCCUGAGGCAGUGCUGCAGUUUCCAUGGGCAGCAAUGUGCACUGAGCUCGCAGCCGACAGACGCACCCGGAGCCAUCUGUGCCGAGCGGUUUGUGUGCAGAGCACGGCUAUCUUCUGUUUGCUACCUUCAGCAAUGAGACGGCGCGAUGCAGGAACAAUCAGAGGGAAAUGUUUCUGUCAUCUUCACUGGUACCCUCAGCUCCGCGGCCUCCUGAAUGUGAAUUAGCGUCUGAAGCAGUUUAUUCAUUCAUGGCAAUCUGUUCAUUUAUUUUCAAGAGAUUGUGGAGCUCCAGGAAGCCUCAUCUGAUUUCUCUUUUCCUCCCUAAGCUCUGACUGCAAAAUAUACUUUAUUUUUCUCAGAUCAUUGCUGCUUCCGCUCUGCUGGGCUGAGGUGCCAGAGAGUCCUGGGCUCAGAAAUGGAGAAGAGGAACGCUUAGGAUUGAUGCUUGGACUUGGAGAUCCUCGAGGUCUUUCCCAACCUUGAUGACAGUAAGCAAAGAGCACCACAGCCACAAGGGUCACCAGUGCUCAGCCCGGGGCUGAUGGGGAGCUGAGGGCAGGAUGCAGCGAGCUCUGUACCUGAGGGAGGGAUGGGGAACCUCAUCCUUGGGAAGAGGCUGUGAUGUGAACACCAAUGAGGAUCUCUUGGGAAAAGAAGCUUCCUGAGAAGUUCCCAGUGCCUCCUGAUCUUCACAGCAGAGAAACUGUUUACUUUCUGCAGUCAGAACUGGAUCACAGCCCCAUUCACUGAAAAAUUUUGCUCUGAAAAGCAAAAAGCACCAAGCAGUGGAAAACUUUCCAAACCACAAAUAAAUGUUUAUUUCACAGUGCGAACAUCACCCAAGUGUUUCUGGAGUUCUGGAAAAGAACUCUCAUUAGCACAAAUGUGAAAAGGCACCACAAAUGAAUGGCAGGGCAGCAGAAUUACAUUCCAGGCAUACUUGAGAGUAGCACAACAUUUGUCUUUGUGCAGGAAGCCAGAGCAGAGCUCGCCAACAUCCGAGUUUCAGCAGAAUCCCAUUGUACAGCAUUAGCAGGGUGAAGUGGUGCAGCAGCACAGUGCCUGCCUUGUGCAAACCAACCUAUUCCUUCCCCAUUAUUUUGGCCCUCAUGCCAUAGACUUUGCACAGCAAAAACCCUCAUUAAAUCUGUCCUUGUCUUUUGCUCUAUUUCUUUUUAAAUCCUCCUUGCUGGAGCUCAGAGGGGUUGCACAGCACCAUGGGAAACACAUCAUAGGUUGGUUUGUCCAGCACUAAAUGUGAGUGCUACAGAGCAGAGCUCUGGCAGGAGGCUCAGCUGUGUUGCUUUUGAAAGCAGCGUCCUCUGUGGUCAUCUAAUACUGCAGCAGAGGCCUCCAAAGCAGAUCACUCUGUUUCCAAAAUGCAAGGUGUUAUUUGUACAGAUAAGACAGUUCUACAGCUUUCUUCCUCUCCUGUGACUUUAUUAACAGGCAGACAGUAUGCAAAUGAGCAGGAGCAUUUAACAUAAUAUUUUCGAACAGACAUUUCAGGUCUAGCUUACACUGUUUGAUCCAUUAAUCACACAGAGCUCUGAGUUCAGAAAUAACAAUAAAAAAAAGCCUAUGUAGUUACAGGUUUCUAGGGUAAAUUGGUUUUCAUAAUGGCUUUACCCAUUUCCGCCCUGUUUUCCUGAGACCAGUGUGGCCAACUAUUAUUUUCCACUGUCUCUUCCAUCCAGUAAUUCUAGCAGACCAACCUGGAUAUUCCCCACGACUCCAAAGUGUUCUCGAUGGAUUUUUAGAAGUGCUUUUGAUUUCACAGUUACUGAAGAAAAUAUGAAGGUCUGAUGAAAAUACCCACAUUUAUUUGCAAGCCCAGGAACUUCCAAUUUGUUGCUGUCAAGGAUUAGCUUUCUGUGGAAAAAAAAAAGAGUUGCUACCCUAUGACAUAUCAGACAGAUUAUAGCACCAUUCUGUAUUGCCCACAGCAUGGAGAGCCUGUAUUAAAUUGCCAAAUUUAUCAGCUUUUAAGGUGUAAGUAGCUAACCGUUUGUCCAGGCCAUUAGCUCAUGUUGGAAAUCUGACUUCUGCCUUCAACUGUAAUGGAUUCUAUCCAUAGAUUACUUGAGUAUUAAAACCAAAAGCUGAUAUUAAAACUAAGAGUAUCAGAACUGUAACUUGAGAGAUUUAAAGUGAGAGUCCUGUAGAAAUAAGAUUAUUCUUGUCUAGAAGCACAGCCCACAAGUCCUCUGGCAUCCUUUCCAACACGAGGCAGCAAAGCACGUUUGAAGAAAUGAAGAACAGAUCAGAAAUAACCCAGGAGCAAACUCUGAAUCCACAGCAAAGAAAUAUUUCAGCCAGUUCUGCUGAAAAAACAAAGAUGAAUGGGAUGUGUAUGAGGGAAGGGAGGAGGAACAGAGGAAACCCAGCAGAAAGAAGAUCAGGAAAGAACGAGGAAAGUGUUUGCAAGUUCCCUUGCCUUUGUCAUGGCUACCAGGGCAGCCUUAAGGGACAGAGGGACCGAAACACUGAUCGCGAGGUCCUGCCUAAGGCCCUAACUUUGCCACUCCAGCAGACUUUGCACUCCAUUUGCUAGCCACUCCAUAGAUGCACAUGAAGGGUUUUCACAAGUUAACAAGCUCCUAUUAGCAUCUUCCUUAUUCAGUUCAUGAAUAGUUGCUGAAAAGUUGGAUUUUUGUGGUAAAUUCUGCAUAUCCACAUUUUGUUGAACUGUGGCAGCAGUCCUUCUAAUUGACACUCUUUGUCCAGCACAUAAAUAGAAUAAUAACUGUAAAGUUUGAAUGUUUUCUUUGAAAUAAAUCAGUAUUUACAAAAUAAGUUUCUUAAAGUAUAAGAAAGGUCGCAAUGGACAGAACAGCAACUUGCAUUUCCACAUUACCAUGGCUCAUCUUUGUCCAUAAGGAUGUGCUAGGUUGACGCACGGUACCCUCGUCUCCUGAGUUUUGUCAUUAGAGCAACUGGGAUUUAUGUCAGUAAAGCACCAAAGUGUGCUGUGAAGUGGGCAUGAGUGUGUACCAGCACUAGCAUGGGUAUCCUGAACUUCUUUCUGCAUUACAGACUUUCUUGGCCUUGUUCUGGAUUGUUGAAGUUCAUUUUCAGCAUUCAGCUCCAUUUGAUAUCAUUGACAUGAAAGCCAGAAGCCCAAACUUUCAGAUUAGAGUUGGGUGACAGAUGUGUAGAAGAGCAAAAGUGAGACCACCCCAAUUAUUAGAGGGGAGUAUUGCAAAAUGUUCGUGCUGAACACUGUUCAGAUUGUCUUGUACCCUUCUUUGGCUGCCAUUCAGCUGCUCUGCCAAGAAGCUCCUCCCCCGCUCCAAGCAGCCUGCUGAAUUAUCAGAGUGAAAAUAUAUCAAGAUUUAUGAUAAGCUUGGAAAUGGAUGGCACUGCACCUGAAUAUCACAUCCACACAUCAGCCACAUAGGAUCCAACAUUCCUCUGUUGUCCUCCUUAAGGAACUUCAUGGAGGCCCAGUGCCAUUCUGAUGUUCAGAGCCCCAAUGGAUCGGCACCAGCAGGGCUGCCUGUGGGUGCCAAAAGAAAGGAUGCCCUGGUUCAAGCAUGGCAGAGCCUCACCAGGAAGAAUCGCAAGGAGGUGAGUCCUGGGUAACACGGCCAGCAGCCCAGGUGUGCCAACUGCAUACAAACAUCAGCAGGAACAGAAAACAGUGACAGCAGCCAAAGGCAGACCUGAACCAUGCUGCAUCCCACAAGUCAAGGUAUGUAGCAACAAAGGAAAGCAAGAACACUCUUUGUCACAUAGAUCAACAACAGUUUAUCUUGUUGUGCCUCCAAGAUGCUACAGAUUUAUAUUAGCUUUGGCAGUUUCAUGCUAGAAAGCAAGACACUAUGACACUCACCUUCUGCAGUAAGACCAAAGCACCAACUUAAC
ensembl:lncRNA